rnacentral:lncRNA from 1 species
AGUUGAGUUGGAAUGUGGCAUGGCUGGCAGUUGAUGAUGACUGUUUCCUAGGAGUUCUGCUGGAGCUACAUGCCUGAACACCAACCAAUAACCUUUUCAUGUGGCUGAGACCUUUCAUAUGGCCACAGUCCUCAGAGACAGCAUCCCAAGAGUGAUCCUUUUAAGAGGCUCAGGUAGAAAUUGCAAGGUGUUUUUACAGUCUUUUCAGAGGUUGGAGUGUCACUUCUGUCAUAUUCUGCUGGUUCAACAAGCCAGUAAAGCCAAGCCCAGAGUAAGGUGCAAGGCUAGUCUAGCCUGCUGGACAAUGAGAGGCCUACGGAACAGGGCGGAGUCACCAUAUCCCACUGAAACUGGCCUAGGUUAGCCAACAGCCCACCUCUCCCAGGCACGUGAAAGCUCAGCGGACUCUGAACAGAUGGACAAUAAACAUUUACUGUGUUUGCCACAUAAGUUUUGUAUUUGUCAUUAUAAAGCAUUAUUGUGACAAUAGAGAAACUAACAUA